UACAGAGGUCCCAAGCGUUGUUCGGAUUCACUGGGCAUAAAGGGCGCGUAGGCGGUUCCGAAGGUGGCGUGUGAAAUCCCCCGGCUCAACCGGGGAAGUGCGCGCCAAACCACGGUUCUUGAGGGCGGUAGGGGGGACUGGAACUCUCGGUGGAGCGGUGAAAUGCGUAGAUAUCGAGAGGAACACCGGCGGCGAAGGCGAGUCCCUGGUCCGCAUCUGACGCUGAGGCGCGAAAGCGUGGGUAGCAAACAGG
rnacentral:rRNA from 1 species